CCUUAUCUAUGUCUACAGGCUGUUCUUUUGUUUGAAAGAACUCAACAGAAGACCCACCUUAACUGCCUGCCUGCCUGAUGGGGUUUUUUUCUUUCUCCUCUCUCACAUGGAACAUAGUCAUUAUGGCAACUUGGUGGGAAUUCCGGGCUCAUGUUAAAAAUUUCCUCCCAUAGCUCCCAAGUCCAAAGUCACUGGUAUCCAUGAACAGUAAGUGGUCUUGUCAAUUCUGAAAAUAUUCCCCCCUUUUGUGUGUGUUUUUUUUUUUAAUUGGGAUUAAGGGAACUUUAAAAAUCAUAUAAUUAAAAGAAUAGUUUGAAGCUUGUAAUAUGGUAUUAAAAAAAAGAACAAAGCUGAAACAUAAUUUGAAAUUCAAAGAUUUCUUCCUGUCUGCUUUGACUAUGGUAGUAUGGUAGUACUUUGAGUAUGGUAGCAUUCAUAUGGCAUCUUCAGUUCUUCAAACAGCCAUCGCCCAAGAUCACUAGGGUCCUUGGGAGUUUAAGCAAGGUUGUCCAAAUCCAUUUCACCUUCUUUUUUCUUCAUUAGUCUAAAGCAGGGGUUGGCAAACUUUGGCUUGCAGGUUGAAGCUGUCUGCCUGUCUUUGUAAAUACAGCUUUUUUGGCACAUAGCCAUGCCCAUUCCUUCACAUCUGAUCUGUGGCUGCUUUCAGGCUACAGAUGCAAGGUUGAGUCAUUGAAACAAAGACCACCCAGACCACAGAGCCCGAAGUAUGUCUCUCUACAGGAAAAGUUAGCUACACCUUGGUCUAAAGGCUUGGUUAUCCUCUGCCUUUGCAUAGGAGUCAGCGUGGAUUUUGAGAAGUGGAAAACUGUCUUCCAGAAAUCCUGCACUCAAGGGCAUGUCCCCCUCCCCGUAAGCAACCUAUAUUUGCAUUUCUUAAAAAAACAAUGCGUUAUUUAAAUAUGAACUAGAGCUAUGCAAUGUGCCUGAAUAUCCUUGUUGUUCUUUGUAAGCAUUUGGGCAUUAUACUCAUUUGGCCCAAUUAUUGGGAUUUGGCUAUGCGCAUCUCAGAUGCCAGAAUGCUCGUGGGAAGACGAGCUGCUGUUAUGUGUGAGCAUGAGACCAGCUGGUAAACAUGAUGCCCAAGGAGAACUAAGGUGCACAUCUUGCCUUAAAAUAAAUACAAUUUAAGGCCGGGCAUGGUGGCUCACGCCUGUAACCCCAGCACUUUGGGAGGCCAAGGCAGGCAGAUCACUUGAAAUCAGGAGUUCAAGAACAGCCAGGCCAACAUAGCAAAACCUUGUCUCUACUAAAAAUACAAAAAUUAGCUGGGUGUGGUGGUGCACGCCUGUGGUCCCAGCUAUUCAGGAGGCUGAGGCAGGAGAAUCGCCUGAACCUGGGAGGUGAGACAGACUGUCAUCCAGGCUGGAGUGCAGUGGCAUGAUUUCGGCUCACUUCAAGUGAUUCUCCUGCCUCAGCCUCCCAAGUGGCUGGGAUUACAGGUGCACACCACUAGGCGAGCUUAUUUUGUGUUUUUAGUAGAGAUGGGGUUUUACCAUGUUGAUCAGGGUGAUCUUGAACUCCUGGCCUCAAGUGAUCCACCACCCCGGCCUCCCAAAGUGCUGGGAUUACAGGUGUGAAUCACCGCACCUGGCCACAUCUUGGUCUUCUUUUCUGUUAUAGACAAUGAGAUAAUUUGGAGGGAAAGAAAAAAACCACUGUUCUCCUUGGUGGGUCUGGAUUUUAGGCAGAUAAAGGAACUUCAGUUUCAAUGGGAGAGACAGGGGUUUGGGGAGGACAUCAGAGAGACCUUGAGGCUUCUUCAGCUCAGCGUGUCCAAACGCCAGAUUUUGGGCUUUUGGUUUCUGAGCUCUAACAGUAGGAAUAGCUUGUGAAAUCUCCUUGAGAUCUUAUGUUUCAUUUUUGAAAAUUCAAAUAUUUGUCAUUCUGUCCUCUGUGUGAUAUUUGCUUGAUUAUUUUAACAAACAGAAGUCAGUAACUGUUUUUGCAUGAAAUAGUCAUAGGCCAAGGCUCUCUUCUUUGAUUUAAGGCUCUUUGGGGUCACUGAAGUGUCAUUUGGAAAAUGACUUCCCAAUGCAUAAUGAUCCCCUAAAGCCUGUCGUAAGUGCUCUUCCAUGAGAGCAG
rnacentral:lncRNA from 1 species